CGGGGCAUGGUGAAAUGGUAUCACGCGUGCUUUGGGAGCAUGAGUCCUGGGUUCGAUUCCCUGUGCCCCGACCA
rnacentral:tRNA from 2 species